GCUGGGAUGGUGUAGUUGGUUAUCACGUCUGUCUAACAUACGAAGGCGCCUCCCUCUAUGUGCACAGAAGGUCCCGAGUUCAAGUCUCGGUCCUAGUA
rnacentral:tRNA from 1 species